rnacentral:lncRNA from 1 species
UACUGGUUUGGGGCUGGAGGAGGCGGAUCCGGCGCCGGUUUGGGUCGGAAUGGGCGGAGGAGAGGGGCAGCAGCUCGGGCGGUGGCUCACGGCGGCCAGGUAGGCCUCCGGCGGCCUUGGCGACGACGAACGGGCGGCUGGACGGCUUCAUCGGAGCUCCACCAGAUCUGAAAUGGCCGCUGGAACUUGGCUGAUGCAGGGACGACGGCAUGAGGGAGGCGGAGGCGCGUGGCAGCAACGGCGCGCAAGGGCGGUGACGGGCGGUGGCAGAGGCUCCUCCAGUGGCGUGCGGCUUCGGACGGGGCUGCUCUGGUU